AGUGAACGCUGGCGGUAGGCCUAACACAUGCAAGUCGAACGGCGGCACAGUAAGAGCUUGCUCUUACGGGUGGCGAGUGGCGGACGGGUGAGGAAUACAUCGGAAUCUACUUUUUCGUGGGGGAUAACGUAGGGAAACUUACGCUAAUACCGCAUACGACCUACGGGUGAAAGCAGGGGAUCUUCGGACCUUGCGCGAUUGAAUGAGCCGAUGUCGGAUUAGCUAGUUGGCGGGGUAAAGGCCCACCAAGGCGACGAUCCGUAGCUGGUCUGAGAGGAUGAUCAGCCACACUGGAACUGAGACACGGUCCAGACUCCUACGGGAGGCAGCAGUGGGGAAUAUUGGACAAUGGGCGCAAGCCUGAUCCAGCCAUACCGCGUGGGUGAAGAAGGCCUUCGGGUUGUAAAGCCCUUUUGUUGGGAAAGAAAAGCAGCAGGUUAAUACCCCGCUGUUCUGACGGUACCCAAAGAAUAAGCAUCGGCUAACUUCGUG
rnacentral:rRNA from 1 species